rnacentral:rRNA from 1 species
GAUGAACGCUGGCGGCGUGCCUAAUACAUGCAAGUCGAGCGAACGGACGAGAAGCUUGCUUCUCUGAUGUUAGCGGCGGACGGGUGAGUAACACGUGGAUAACCUACCUAUAAGACUGGGAUAACUUCGGGAAACCGGAGCUAAUACCGGAUGAUAUUUUGAACCGCAUGGUUCAAAAGUGAAAGACGGUCUUGCUGUCACUUAUAGAUGGAUCCGCGCUGCAUUAGCUAGUUGGUAAGGUAACGGCUUACCAAGGCAACGAUGCAUAGCCGACCUGAGAGGGUGAUAGGCCACACUGGAACUGAGACACGGUCCAGACUCCUACGGGAGGCAGCAGUAGGGAAUCUUCCGCAAAGGGCGAAGGCCUGACGGAGCAACGCCGCGUGAGUGAUGAAGGUCUUCGGAUCGUAAAACUCUGUUAUUAGGGAAGAACAUAUGUGUAAGUAACUGUGCACAUCUUGACGGUACCUAAUCAGAAAGCCACGGCUAACUACGUG